rnacentral:rRNA from 1 species
CCUACGGGAGGCAGCAGUGAGGAAUAUUGGACAAUGGUCGAAAGACUGAUCCAGCCAUGCCGCGUGCAGGAUGACUGCCCUAUGGGUUGUAAACUGCUUUUAUACGGGAAGAAAAACACCUACGUGUAGGUGACUGACGGUACCGUAAGAAUAAGGACCGGCUAACUCCGUGCCAGCAGCCGCGGUAAUACGGAGGGUCCAAGCGUUAUCCGGAAUCAUUGGGUUUAAAGGGUCCGUAGGCGGGCUAUUAAGUCAGAGGUGAAAGUUUGCAGCUCAACUGUAAAAUUGCCUUUGAUACUGAUAGUCUUGAAUUGUAGUGAAGUGGUUAGAAUAUGUGGUGUAGCGGUGAAAUGCAUAGAUAUCACAUAGAAUACCGAUUGCGAAGGCAGAUCACUAACUAUAUAUUGACGCUGAGGGACGAAAGCGUGGGGAGCGAACGGGAUUAGAUACCCCGGUAGUCCACGCCGUAAACGAUGGAUACUAGCUGUUGGAUUUUUUCAGUGGCUAAGCGAAAGUGAUAAGUAUCCCACCUGGGGAGUACGUUCGCAAGAAUGAAACUCAAAGGAAUUGACGG